rnacentral:rRNA from 1 species
AGUGAGCGCUGGCGGUAGGCCUAACACAUGCAAGUCGAACGGCAGCACAGAGGAGCUUGCUCCUUGGGUGGCGAGUGGCGGACGGGUGAGGAAUACAUCGGAAUCUACUCUGUCGUGGGGGAUAACGUAGGGAAACUUACGCUAAUACCGCAUACGACCUACGGGUGAAAGCAGGGGAUCUUCGGACCUUGCGCGAUUGAAUGAGCCGAUGUCGGAUUAGCUAGUUGGCGGGGUAAAGGCCCACCAAGGCGACGAUCCGUAGCUGGUCUGAGAGGAUGAUCAGCCAAACUGGAACUGAGACACGGUCCAGACUCCUACGGGAGGCAGCAGUGGGGAAUAUUGGACAAUGGGCGCAAGCCUGAUCCAGCCAUACCGCGUGGGUGAAGAAGGCCUUCGGGUUGUAAAGCCCUUUUGUUGGGAAAGAAAUCCAUCUGGUUAAUACCCGGGUGGGAUGACGGUACCCAAAGAAUAAGCACCGGCUAACUUCGUGCCAGCCGCCGCCAUAA